CUGCUCAUUUGACUAUAGAAAAGGGAAGACUAUUCAGUUUAAAAAAGACGGGGAGUUAUCAAUGCUGUUUUAACAACAGAACCUGUAAUUGUUUAUUCUGCUCACCAUUGGAAUAGAGAAAAGAGAAGACAACCCAGUAUGACAAAGAACAGAAGAAGAAGCAAAGCUCCUGUACAAAGUAAUGCAUCAUCAACAGACACAAAUGCUGAUCCCCAAAAACCAGGACUUUCAGGAAAAAAGGUGGAGGAAGUUUUCAACAUGUCUCCCAUUUCAUUAUGUCAGUCAGUCCUUAGACAACAGUUGACAAAAGGACUACCUUCUCAAAGACAUACCAACAAUGAAUGUCCUUCCAUUAAAGGAUUUCAACAAGAACAAAGACAGCUGUUGGAUCUUUUGAAAAGAACAGCAACAUCAGGAGAAAGUAACUCUGUAUUGGUGAUAGGACCCAGGGGGAGUGGAAAAACAACAGUCAUCAAGAAUGUCAUUGCCGAGCUUUUGCUAAAUGAUCAUAUCAGAGAAAAUCUGCUUCAAGUGCAUCUAAAUGGAUUACUACAGACAGAUGAUAGAAUUGCCCUAACAGAGAUCACCAGACAGUUAAAGCUAGAAAAUACAGUAGGGGAUAAAGUAUUUGGGUCAUUCUCAGAAACACUUCAGUUUUUAUUAGAGGCAUUGAAGAGUGGUGACCAGAGCAGUAAGCCGAUCCUGUUCAUCCUGGAUGAGUUUGAUCUGUUUGCCCAUCACAAGAACCAGACAUUACUGUAUAACCUGUUUGAUGUGGCUCAAUCAGCCCAGGCUCCUAUCUGUGUUGUAGGAGUGACAUGUCGUCUCGAUGUUAUUGAGCUUCUGGAGAAGAGAGUGAAGUCAAGGUUUUCACAUCGACAAAUUCAUCUGUUUAAUAGUCAGACAAUCCAAGAUUAUAUUGACAUAUUUAAAAAUCUAUUGCAACUGGAUCCUCAAUUUCCUGACCAAAAGUUUGCCAAUAGCUGGAAUCACCAUGUUGAGCAACUCUCUAAAGAUCCUACUGUGAUGGAUUUAUUAAAACAGCAGUUUGAAUCUACGAAAGACGUGAGAGCUCUUCAACAGCUUCUAAUGUAUCCAGUAUGUCACUUAAGUGACACUUCUCCCACUCUAUCUAUCAGUGAUUUUGUGGAGUCCAGAAAACUGCUAACCACAGAUUCAAAGUCUGCUAUGUUGCAUGGUGUGUCUAUACUGGAACUCUGUCUGAUCAUUGCUAUGAAACAUCUGACUGAAAUAUACGAAGGGGAACCAUUUAAUUUUGAAAUGGUAUACAGUGAAUAUUCGAAGUUUGCUCAGAGGAAAUCUUCAAUGCAGGUGUUUGAAAAAGCAGUAGUGUUAAAGGCUUUUGAGCACUUGAUCCACUUGGAGCUGGUGAAGACAGUGGAUGGGGCUGGAAGUCGUGUACAGAAGGAGUACAGACUGAUGCAGAUGUUAAUUCAUGGGACACAGAUCAUGGAGGCGCUCCAGAAGUACCCCCAGUGUCCUACUGAUGUCAGGCAAUGGGCGGCCUCCUCUCUAGCAACAUGACAACCAGACUGAUGACAUUUAUUGUGUAAGUGGAUUUUAUUAUACAUCAGGAAGGACCUAGCAAAUCUAUGAUAUGCAUAAGAGCAAGGCACAGUUUCAUCAUUCAGAUAAUGGUGUGAAAUGCAGAAACAACAGAAAAUCCCUCUCUGAUUUAUAGGCAUGUUGGUAAAAAGAACAAGACUGAGAAUGUCUGUGCAUUUUACAUUUCUGUGAAGUUGUUGACUUGGUUGAUUCAGUUUUGUGUUUUGUUGUUCUGACUAACAUAGUUAUUUUCUUGAUUAAAUAAUAAAAGUUA